GUUAGAUUUACAGUAGGUGUGAGGUUCUGGGGUAUAACGUGAAACUCACCCAAGAUUUCCAUCAACCCUCUCUCCAAAAAAGAAAGCACUCUCUCUCUCUCUCUCUCUCAGAAAAUGCAAUGCAACAUUUAUUGUGAAGCAGCAAUAAUACCUUACUACAACUUAGCAAGAAAGCUAAGAGCAGAUUUCUAUAAUAGGUCAAAUAUAUGCCGCAAAAAUGGCAGUGACUAAAUAAUAGAUACAAAGAAUAAAAUCAGG